AUUUAUAAAUAAUUGUUAGAUAAACUUCAACUUAAAACAUUUCUAGGAUUAGUAAUGGCGAAAGAAAUUUAUCAAGUUAUAAUUAAAGUACUGUGAAGGAAAAUAAAAAUUAAUGUAAAGAAAAAAUUAAAUCUUGUACCUUUUGCAUCAUGGUUUAGCCAGAUUUCGUUUUCUUAGGGAAUUUUCUCGAAAUCUAAUGAGCUAUUUUUAGUUAGUAUUUUAGAUACUAAGAAAGUAAUUGUAGCAAAAAUUUUUUCAAAACUAAAAAUAGAAAUGAAAUUUUAUUCGUAUUAGAUGAUAGCUAGUUCUUUCUGAAAAGUAUAGUAGUACUACAGACUUAAUUUUAUUAUAAAAAACAUAUUGUUAGAAUAAAUCGAAGUCUAGUUAAAUUCUUGAGGAUAAGCUCAUGAAUAAGAUAAAACUGUAUAUUAUAUGUAAGUAGUUAAAUUUAGGCUUGAAAAUGGCCAUGAUUUAUGAUUUUGUUAUAAUUUCAUUACCUAUUAUGACAUAAAAUAAAUAUAUUUGCUUUUAAGAAAGAAAGUUUUAAAAUUUAAAUUAAACCUAAUUGAAUGCUAAAAUGAGUAUUAAUUACUUUAUUCUUUUUUACUACUAUAAAAAAAUAAAUUAUAUUUAAAGUCAAAAUUUUAAAUUUUUAAAAGGAACUCGGCAAAUAUAUAUUCUGCCUGUUUAUCAAAAACAUGGCUCCUUGUUAUACGUUUAUAGGGAGUCGGACCUGCUCGGUGAAAUAUUUUAACAGCCGCGGUACUCUGACCGUGCAAAGGUAGCAUAAUCAUUUGCCUUAUAAUUGAAGGCUAGUAUGAAUGGUUUGACAAGAAUUAAGCUGUCUCUUUUUAAUUAAACAUAAUUUUAUAGAUAGGUGAAGAAGCCUAUAUUACAUUGAAAGACAAGAAGACCCUGUCGAGCUUAAAAUAAAUUAGUAAAUUAUGUGCAUAUUCCAUAAAAUAAUUAAGUUACUAAAAAUUUUGGUUGGGGCGACUGAGGAACAAAAGAAGCUUCCUUUUAACUAAAAAAUACAAGCAAGUGUUGAUCCAAAAGGUUUGAUUAAAGAAAUUAGUUACCGCAGGGAUAACAGCAUAAUCCUCUUUGAGAGUUCUAAUCGAAAAGGGGGUUUGUGACCUCGAUGUUGGACCAGAAUAUCCUAAAGAUGCAGCUGUCUUUAAUGGUUGGUCUGUUCGACCAUUAAAAUUCU
rnacentral:rRNA from 1 species